UCACAGUAGGGUUCACGCUGCUAUGAGAAUCAAAUGUCCCGCUGAUCCGACAGGAGGUGAAGCUCAGGCGGUAAUGGCUGGCCUGUUGCUCACCUCCUGCUGUGCGGCCAGGCUCGCCACAGACCUAUAGGAUCUGCCGCCCGGGGCUGGGGACGCCUGCUCUAGAGCACUAGCAGUAUACCAGUAUGAAAAGUAUAAAUGAAGUAAAAUGAUUCAUAUUAAACUGCAGCAGACCCCCAGCCGGCACAUUCUUCUGUACGAAUGAUAUACAGGCUGAAUGGAGAAGACUAUAAAGACCCAAAGGAAGACAGUACAAGUCAUGACAGAAACUUGUGUUGCUAGAUGAUUUCAUGGAACAGAGCCUCUAUCCUCAUCACUUCCUGCAACCUAAAUUCGAGCUGUUAUAGAGCUAGCCUACCUCACUAAUAUAUUAUUCAUCCUAAAUUUACAUAAAAGUGAAAACCAAAAUUGUAAUACUUCUGUCUUGCUUCCUCUGGGAAACUUCUUUCUUGGAUAUGUAGCCAUAAAAUGAAACUAAUUUCUUAAGAUACUCAAGGCACAUGUUUCUGCUUUUCAGAUUUGGUUUCUAUCAAAAACUCUUUUGCUUUAAUUAUGAACAUGUUUGCCUCCAAAAUAAAUGAGAAAAUGCUAUUUAUUUAUUUAAACAGGUUAGGAGAUUCUUCAUGAAGUCGAGGGCUUUGUCUUUAAAACCAGAACCUAGAAUAAUGCUACUAUGAUAGCACUCAGGAAAUUUUGAUUUAAUUAUU
rnacentral:lncRNA from 1 species